CGGCUAACUAUGUGCCAGCAGCCGCGGUAAUACAUAGGUGGCAAGCGUUAUCCGGAUUUAUUGGGCGUAAAGAGUGCACAGGUGGUUAUAUAAGUUUGAUGUUAAAGACCGAAGCUCAACUUCGGUUCGCAUUGAAAACUGUAUAACUAGAAUGCAGGUGGGAAUAGUGGAAUUCGAUGUGUAGCGGUGGAAUGCAUAAAUAUAUCGAGGAACACCAGUGGCGAAGGCGGCUAUUUGAACUGUAAUUGACACUUAAGCACGAAAGCGUGGGGAGCAAAUAGGAUUAGAUACCCUAGUAGUCCACGCCGUAAACGAUCUAGAUUAGAUGUCGGAAUUAUUCGGUAUCGCAGCUAACGCAUUAAAUCUAGCGCCUGGGUAGUACGCACGCAAGUGUAAAACUCAAAGGAAUUGACGGGGACCCGCACAAGUGGUGGAGCAUGUGGUUUAAUUCGAUGAUACGCGAAAAACCUUACCUACGCUUGACAUACUUGGCAAAACUAUAGAGAUAUAGUCGAGGUUAACCAAUGUACAGGUGGUGCAUGGUUGUCGUCAGCUCGUGUCGUGAGAUGUUUGGUUAAGUCCAGCAACGAGCGCAACCCCUAUCCUAUGUUACCAGCAUUAAGUUGGGGACUCAUGGGAGACUGCUAGGGUAACCUAGAGGAAGGUGGGGAUGANGUCAAAUCAUCAUGCCCCUUAUGCGUAGGGCUACACACGUGCUACAAUGGNACAUACAAAGUGCUGCAAACCCGUGAGGGUAAGCGAAUCACAAAAAAUGUAUCUCAGUCCGGAUCGAAGUCU
rnacentral:rRNA from 1 species